AUUGAACGCUGGCGGCGUGCUUAACACAUGCAAGUCGUGCGGUAACAGGCGUAGCAAUACGUGCUGACGAGCGGCGAACGGGUGCGUAAUACAUGGGAAUCUGCCCUUUAGUGGGGAAUAACCCGGCGAAAGCCGGGCUAAUGCCGCAUAAGAUCUUCGGAUGAAAGCGGGGGAUCGUAAGACCUCGCGCUGAUGGAUGAGCCCAUGUCGGAUUAGCAGUUGGUGAGGUAACGGCUCACCAAGGCGACGAUCCGUAGCUGGUCUGAGAGGACGGCCAGCCACACUGGGACUGAGACACGGCCCAGACUCCUACGGGAGGCAGCAGUGGGGAAUAUUGGACAAUGGGGAAACCCUGAUCCAGCGACGCCGCGUGUGUGAAGAAGGCCUGCGGGUUGUAAAGCACUUUCGGUGGGAACG
rnacentral:rRNA from 1 species